CUCGCGGUCACACUAGCGUUUGUUCUUGGAGAUUACCAGCGGAUUAGCGUGCUUGCUUGAACACACACCAACAAGCUCAUGCUAGAAUGUAAGCAAGCACGUCGCGGUCACACUCAAAAAAGCAACGUUUGCUUGCUUGCUGUUGUUGUUGACAGAUAAAAAUUAAAAACUUAUCUAAUAAUCUAAAGUCCAUUAUGUUAAAGUCAACGAAUAUAGCCUACAUUAUUCUUGUGAUUUCGUAACUAUAAGUUUAGAACAUAUAGAGAAUGUGUCUUUGUAGUUUAUAGUUCAGGCGCAAAUGCUUGCCCGAUCGUUAUUCAUGCUUGAAUGCUUCCUGUUUUUGGGUAAAUAAAAUAAAUAAAUAAUACAUAUAUAAUAUGAUGAGUUGUAAA